GACGAACGCUGGCGGCGUGCUUAACACAUGCAAGUCGAACGAAGUGGCGAACGGGUGAGUAAUACGUGAGUAACCUGCCCUCCUUUUUGGGAUAAGCCUUGGAAACGGGGUCUAAUACCGGAUAAAGAGGGAUGGGCUCGCGGCCUAUCAGUGUGUUGGUGGGGUGAUGGCCUACCAAGGCGGUGACGGGUAGCCGGCCUGAGAGGGUGACCGGCGACAUGGGGACGGCGCUACGGCCCAGACUCGUACGGGAGGGAGCAGUGGGGGAUAUUGCACAAUGGGCGAAAGACUGAUGCAGCGACGCUGCGGGGGGGAUGAAGGUUUUAGGGUUGUAAACCUCUUUCGCUAUAGAACGGGUAGGUGGAGAAGAAGCGCCGGCUAACUACGUGCCAGCAGCCGCGGUAAUUC
rnacentral:rRNA from 1 species